rnacentral:rRNA from 1 species
CCUGCCCAUAAGUGGGGAAUAACAGUUGGAAACGACUGCUAAUACCGCAUAAGCUGAGCAAUCAGUAAAGGAGGCUAACGCUUCCGCUUAUAGAUGGGCCCGCGUCUGAUUAGCUAGUUGGUGGGGUAAUGGCCUACCAAGGCAACGAUCAGUAGCCGGCCUGAGAGGGUGGACGGUCUCACUGGGACUGAGACACGGCCCAGACUCCUACGGGAGGCCGCAGUGGGGAAUAUUGCGCAAUGGGGGAAACCCUGACGCAGCGACGCCGCGUGAGCGACGAAGGCCUUACGGUCGUCAAGCUCUGUUUUAAGGGACGAAUAUCUUCAGUAGUAACUGACUGAGGAAUGACGGUACCUUACCAGAAAGCCCCGGCUAACUACGUGCCAGCAGCCGCGGUAAGACGUAGGGGGCGAGCGUUGUCCGGAAUUACUGGGCGUAAAGAGCACGUAGGCGGGAUUUUAAGUCAGGUGUGAAAGACCGUGGCUCAACCACGGGGUUGCACAUGAAAAUGGAAUUCUUGAAGGAAGGAGAGGAAAGUGGAAUUCCUGGUGUACGGUGAAAUGCGUAAAAUCAGGAGGAACACCGGUGG